rnacentral:rRNA from 1 species
GAUGAACGCUGGCGGCGUGCUUAACACAUGCAAGUCGAACGGAACUACUCCAAUGAGAGUCUUCGGAAAGGAUUUGGUUUAGUUUAGUGGCGGACGGGUGAGUAACGCGUGGGUAACCUGCCCUAUCCAGGGGGAUAACCGUUGGAAACGACUGUUAAUACCGCCUCAGCGCACAGGAGCGGAUGCUCCGGUGUGAAAAACUCCGGUGGUAUAGGAUGGACCCGCGUCUGAUUAGCUGGUUGGCGGGGUAACGGCCCACCAAGGCGACGAUCAGUAGCCGGCCUGAGAGGGUGAACCGGCACAUUGGGACUGGGACACGGCCCGAACUCGUACGGGAGGCAGCGGUGGAGAAUAUUGCACAAUGGGGGAAGCGCGGAUGCGGCGACGUCGGGUGGGCGAACAAGUAUCUCGGUAGGGAAAGCUCUAUCAGCAGGGGAGAGAAUGACGGUACCUGACUAAGAAGCCCCGGCUAACUACGUG